rnacentral:sRNA from 1 species
AACACUCUUUUAGCCAACCUAUGGCUAUAAAGGCAAAAGUUGUUUUCAGUUUCAGACCAAAUUGAAUUUGUCUUUUACCCAUUUCUACCUCUCUAUUUCAUUUCCCUAACAACUUAAAUUGUUAUAAUUCAUUUUUCUAUGGUCAAGAAAGAUAAUGCAUUUAGGCUGUGAAUGGAGCAUGCGGAGCAGGAGGAUCCAGUUGCAAGAUGGGGUGGAUUAUUGAUUAUUUGUUGCCAUUUACAUAAGUUAUGUUCUCUAGAGUGUGUUUAGGAAAAUAAACUGACUUGUCAAACAUGUCAUUCUUUCUUAAACCUUGUUCGCAUCCGCGGUCCAUCAAUAAAUGAUCCAAAUAGUAUUGGAUCAAGUUAGCAGAGAAUAAAACGCAAAAUCUUACGUUAACUCUAUUUUGUACGGUGUAACUUUCAAAAUUUGGUGUAGUAUUUCUUUGAAGCUUAACUUCUAGUAUUAGAAGGACCUUAGCUUUAUUUGAGAUACUAAGCAUAAGUUUCAAAAUGUAUUUAUCUGAAAUUCAAAGAAACUCUUAUAGGUAAUUGAACUAAUGUACACACUAUUCAGCCUUCGGAGACAUACUUGUGUCACACAAAUUGUGUGCAUUGGUCUUGCAUAUGCAAUUGGGAGAAGCUACGUGCUCUUAUAACACCC